UGUUGAGAAGAGAGAGAGAGACCGAGUGGGAGAGAUAAGGAAGGGUUGGGCCUUUACCUUUUGAUAGAUUGGGCUUGUGUUUAAAUGGUUCUGGGCCUCCUCCUUAAUUAUUUUACUGGGCCAUUGUAUUUGAUUUAUUGAGCCCAACUAUUUUAUUCAGUAAAUGGGCUACUGUUUUAAUACAGUUGGGCCAAAUUCAUUUUAAUUAUAUGAGUUGCCCUUAAUUGGUUCAUUGUGGAUUAAUUAUUCUUUUAUUGAUUGAGCCAGAUUUAUUUAAUUAUUCAGUCCAAUUAUCUGAUUCAUUCACUCGAGCCAUUUAUUAUUUUUAUUUGGGCUGCAGAUGUAAAUAAUAGUGGGCUGCCAUUAUUUAUUUAUUCAAGCCCACUUUUACUUAUCUAAUUAUUAGGCUGCCUUAUGUUUGGGCCUUUUAAUUAUUGAAUUAUUACUACUAUUAUUAUUUCUUCCAUAUUUAUUUAAGCUCGAUUAAUGAUUAGCCUCGAUUAUUGAUUAAUUCGAUCCGAUUAUUUCUAAUUAUGGGUGUAUUAUUACGAGACCACUAAGGAAACGAGUCGAUUUAGCUAUUCCCUUUUUAUCGAUUAAAUAGCGCGAGAUUUAUUUAAUUAUCAAGUGGGUUAGAACACCCUAAGAUGAGCGGAUUAAUUUUAGUUAGUUAUUCGACUUCAUGAAGCGAGACUUAAUUAGUUUUACUAAUCUGAUAGCCAAGAUUAACAUUAGAAUAUCCUCGAUUAUUAGUCCCGAGUAAUAAUUCAUGCAUAAGAGAGUCAUGCAUAGUUAAUUUUGCAUUCUCAUUAUUUGAGGAUUUUGUUCGAGCAAUACCUUAUUUAAAUUUCUCGCAAUAAAGGUCAAGCGCGAGAGCAAUAACUAGAUUAAGAGCCGCUACACCACAGCAAGAGUUGCUAUCAGGUUGAGCAGCUGCCGGUGGUGAUGAAGUGACGAGUGGAACCCUUUUGUCUUAUUUCUAUGUAUUAAUGAACUCUGGGGAUACAUGUCUACAUACAUGUAAUCAGAACCCUUAUUCCGCUGCGUACUCAGAAGUCUUAUGUUAUUUUGGCUAAGUGGGAGUUAUUCGAACUUACUAGUUGAUUUGAGUCAAUAUGACUAAACCUCCGUUACAUUAUAACUAUUCAUUUUGUUAACAACGAUUUACGAUCCUUC